UCCACAGGCCUUCAAAAGGCACUCGCAACACCAGGCCGCUCCUUCGGGAGCGGCUUUUUUUUGCCCGGC
rnacentral:misc_RNA from 3 species